rnacentral:lncRNA from 1 species
CCAGAAGCAGUAUUGGUAUUAAAUAUAUGGACAGUCUCUUUGCUUCACUUUCUUCUCCAACUGCUUCCAAUGACUACAUUUAUUUUUUUUGUGUUCAAUUUCAUCUCUCACUGCUCCCAUUCUCUCUCCUUAAGCCCCAUUCUUUUGGAUUUUCAAUUAUGACCUACACAAUUAUAAAUUUAGACCUGUUCUUGGAACCUUUUUAAGGCAGUCUGAAGGGACCCGUUUGCCACAGUAUGAAUCUCUGACCAGUCCAUUGAGGGGCUCGUCGUAGACCAACGCAAAGGGAAAAGUGCAACAUUUCUCAAAAUCUGCUGCUUUCUGUGACUGCACAGGAAACUGAG